GGCCUUGUGGCCUAAUGGAUAAGGCGUCGGACUUCGGAUCCGAAGAUUGCAGUUUGGAGUCCUGCCAGGGUCG
rnacentral:tRNA from 1 species